CCCUUCACCCACUCCAAGCUCAUGCUUAGUC
rnacentral:piRNA from 1 species